UAUCAUGUCUGUAUCAAAUUUCAACUCAUGGAUACCCUAAAAUACAUGGAUUUUCUUAUUCAUUUUAACCACUAAUAAUAGGUUUUUAGUCAAUUAAUCCUAAAACACUAUCCUGUCGUCCUAGUAUUUUAGGUUGUCAAUCCAAAUGGGUGUGAUGCUAGUAAUCAAGAUGCAAUCAGAGUUCACAUAGUCAAGGCAAGCAAUAACAGGUUUGGAGUUUCUAGCAGUCCUAAAUGAACAUGCAGGAAACAGAAAUUCAAGUAGAAACAGUUAAAACACUCGACCAACACAGCAUGUUGCCAAGCACUAGGUGUGGUCGAGUGACAAGUCGAGUAAAUAGCAGAGACAGUAACAAAGAUACUCGACUGCACAGUCUGUUACACGACAAUUGGGUGUAGUCGAGUAUAUGAAUGAUAACAUCUUUAAAAUGCAAAAGCUAAGCGAGGAGUAAGCAAUGACAGAGUAAACAAAGAAAUCAAUUAGAUGAGAAAUUCCCGAGGAUUGGGUAAUAGAAUAGUUAGUUUCCUCAGUCUACAGGUGAUUGACAUGCUCAAUAAAAUAUCCCUAGACAACAAGUUCGAUAACCAAAUCUAAGUGCCACCGCAACAGAGAUCCUCAAGUUAAAGUAUUCCCAGAAUCAAUCACCAUUUACGAGAGCUAACCUAACAGGCAUUACGAAUCAACAAGUUAAAGCCAAAACGCUCCCUGUAACCAAUACCUUGGUACAGAGCCACGAAUCUCUAGAAGUAGUGGUUCAGACAUUUUAUCGAACACUUAUAUGGUGCGGAAAUGUCUGGGCUCAAAUUUCAAUUGAUCAGAAAGCAAUAGGCAUUAAGAACAACUAUUCCAGAAGGGACUAUAUAUCAAACUCAACCAGCUAACAGACCGAGGAUUCUAAACUACUCUAUCCCAUCUUCAGAAACCUAGUCACUACUCAGACUUCAUUUCAGAAAACAUAAACGAUGACAUGAAUGAAAACAUCAUAGCAACAAAGUAAUAACAAAAUGAUACAACAUGAACUACUUAGUAAACGAAAUGUAAAGCAAAUAU
rnacentral:sRNA from 1 species